rnacentral:rRNA from 1 species
UACGUAGGGCGCAAGCGUUGUCCGGAAUUAUUGGGCGUAAAGAGCUCGUAGGCGGCUUGUCACGUCGGGUGUGAAAGCCCGGGGCUCAACCCCGGAGGUGCGGCCGAGACUGCAGGGCUGGAGGCCGGAAGAGGAGGGUGGAAUACCCAGUGUAGAGGUGAAAUUCGUAGAUAUUGGGUGGAACACCGGUGGCGAAAGCGGCUCUCUGGUCCGGACCUGACGCUGAGGCGCGAAAGCGUGGGGAGCAAACAGG